GUUUAUGUAGUUUAACAAAAAACAAGUUAUUUUCAAUAACUAGAAAAAGAAAUUUCUUAAACU
rnacentral:tRNA from 1 species